GCCGAAGUGGCGGAAUGGCAGACGCGACGGUCUCAAAAACCGUUGGGGGCAACUCCGUGUGGGUUCGACUCCCACCUUCGGCACCA
rnacentral:tRNA from 1 species